UGCGGUUAAAAAGCUCGUAGUUGGAUCUGUGUCCCGCGCCGUCGGUUCACCGCCUGUCGGUGUUAAACUGGCGUGUAUGCGGGACGUCCUGUCGGUGGCGGAACGGGGCUUCGUCAAACCGUAGGGGUGUCCAGUUUUCCUGCGACUCCCUGAAGGCUGGCGUAUGCUUCCGGCCGCCUUGUCAAUCCCGCCGCGGUGCUCUUCACCGAGUGUCGAGGCGGGCCGGCACGUUUACUUUGAACAAAUUAGAGUGCUUUAAGCAGGCUCUUUCCCGCCUGUAUAUUGUGUGCAUGGAAUAAUGGAAUAGGACCUCGGUUCUAUUUUGUUGGUUUUCGGAAUCUGAGGUAAUGAUCAAUGGGGACAGGCGGGGGCAUUCGUAUUGCGACGUUAGAGGUGAAAUUCUUGGAUCGUCGCAAGACGGACCGAAGCGAAAGCAUUUGCCAAGUAUGUUCUCGUCGAUCAAGAACGAAAGUUAGAGGUUCGAAGGCGAUCAGAUACCGCCCUAGUUCUAACCAUAACUAUGCCUGCCAGCGAUCCGCCGGCGUUCCUCCGAUGACCCGGCGGGCAGCUUCCGGGAAACCAGAGCUUUUGGGUUCCGGGGGAAGUAUGGUUGCAAAGCUGAAACUUAAAGGAAUUGACGGAAGGGCACCACCAGGAGUGGAGCCUGCGGCUUAAUUUGACUCAACACGGGAAACCUCACCAGGCCCGGACACCGGAAGGAUUGACAGAUUGAGAGCUCUUUCUUGAUUCGGUGGGUGGUGGUGCAUGGCCGUUCUUAGUUGGUGGAGCGAUUUGUCUGGUUAAUUCCGAUAACGAACGAGACUCUAGCCUACUAACUAGACGUUUCCGGUAUCCACAAUCGUGCUACCGGCGAGUAAAUUUCUUCUUAGAGGGACAGGCGGCUUCUAGCCGCACGAGACUGAGCAAUAACAGGUCUGUGAUGCCCUUAGAUGUCCUGGGCCGCACGCGCGCUACACUGAAGGAAUCAGCGUGUCUUCCCUGUCCGAAAGGACCGGGUAACCCGCUGAACCUCCUUCGUGCUAGGGAUUGGGGCUUGCAAUUGUUCCCCAUGAACGAGGAAUUCCCAGUAAGCGCGAGUCAUAAGCUCGCGUUGAUUACGUCCCUGCCCUUUGUACACACCGCCCGUCGCUACUACCGAUUGAAUGAUUUAGUGAGGUCUUCGGACUGGUGCGCGGAGGUGGCUCUUGUUGCUUCCGAUGUUGUCGGAAAGAUGACCAAACUUGAUCAUUUAGAGGAAGUAAAAGUCGUAACAA
rnacentral:rRNA from 1 species